CAGCCGCCGCGGUAAUACGUAGGGUGCGAGCGUUAAUCUGAUUUACUGGGCGUAAAGCGUGCGCAGGCGGCCCGUUAAGACAGGUGUGAAAUCCCUGGGCUCAACCUAGGAAUUGCGCUUGUGACUGGCGGGCUCGAGUACGGUAGAGGGGGGUGGAAUUCCUGGUGUAGCAGUGAAAUGCGUAGAGAUCAGGAGGAACACCGAUGGCGAAGGCAGCCCCCUGGGCCUGUACUGACGCUCAUGCACGAAAGCGUGGGGAGCAAACAGGAUUAGAUACCCGGGUAGUCAACGCCCUAAACGAUGGGUACUAGCCGUUUGGUGCGCGAUAGCGCUGAGUGGCGAAGCUAACGCGUGAAGUACCCCGCCUGGGGAGUACGGCCGCAAGGUUGAAACUUAAAGGAAUUGGCGGG
rnacentral:rRNA from 1 species